GGCCGCCCCAGCAAGCAACGGCAAUGCGGUGGGGUCACGUUCCAGGCAGUGGGAGAUUUGUUCUUUCACUCUUAGCAAUAAAUCUUAAUGCUGCUCACUCUUUCCGUCGGUGCUGCCUUUAUGACCUGUAACACUCACCUCAAAGGUCUGCAGCUUCACUUCUGAAGUCAGCCAGACCGUGAACCCACCAGAAGCAAGAAGGAACAAACUCCGGACUCCCCAUCUUUGAGAACUGUAACACUCACCGCAAGGGUCUACGGCUUCAUUCUUGAAGUCAGUGAGACCAAGAGCCCACCAAUUGCGGACACAUAAUCACCGGAGGACCCAGACACACGCAGAGGUAAGACCAUUUAAAGAUGGAAAGAAGAUUACUGUCUACAAGACAAGGAAAGAGGCCGUAGAAGAAACCAACCAGGCCAAAACUUUCAUCUCAGACUUCUAGCCUUCAGAACUGUGAGAAGAUAAAUUUAUGUUGUUUAAGUCAAACAGUGUGUGGUAUUUUGUUAUAACAGCCCUAGCAAAUGAAUAUAGUACCUCUGUUAUCUUUAGAUUAUUACUGCUACUAUGCCAUAUCUUUUCCAUCCCUUCACUUUUAAUGUCUCUCUCUUAAAGAUUUCUUGAUGAC
rnacentral:lncRNA from 1 species